CAUUCAAGUUGGUUAAUUAGUCGAACAAUUUCCAACCUGGACCUCCACUCACAUACAAAGAACUCAAAAGCGACAUCUCCAGCAAAGCGGACAAAACCAACAGCGAUCUUUUUAUUCCGUGGGAGAAGCAACACCCUGGGCUCGUUGAGGGCGACAUCAUGCCGACGGAUAAGAAAAACGCCAUCAUCAAUCCAGGUGGACUUCGGCCCAACAAAAUCAUUCCUUACGUCAUCGAUAUAUAUUACACAACCGAACAGCGAAAUGUCAUAGCGUCCGCCAUGGACGCCUACCACACCAAAACUUGCAUCCGCUUCGUUCCGCGAACGAACGAAACCAAUUACAUC